UCAUUUAAUCUUCCAUUACACAUCCGAUGGAUACAUCCUGCUAGUUGGUUAAGCCUGGUGAACUAGUAGGAUGUAUCCAUCAGAUGUAACUGAUUCAUUGAGAUGUGAAAAA